AACGAACGCUGGCGGCAUGCCUAACACAUGCAAGUCGAACGAGACCUUCGGGUCUAGUGGCGCACGGGUGCGUAACGCGUGGGAAUCUGCCCUUAGGUACGGAAUAACUCAGAGAAAUUUGAGCUAAUACCGGAUGAUGUCGCAAGACCAAAGAUUUAUCGCCCAAGGAUGAGCCCGCGUAGGAUUAGCUUGUUGGUGAGGUAAAAGCUCACCAAGGCGACGAUCCUUAGCUGGUCUGAGAGGAUGAUCAGCCACACUGGGACUGAGACACGGCCCAGACUCCUACGGGAGGCAGCAGUGGGGAAUAUUGGACAAUGGGCGAAAGCCUGAUCCAGCAAUGCCGCGUGAGUGAUGAAGGCCUUAGGGUUGUAAAGCUCUUUUACCCGGGAUGAUAAUGACAGUACCGGGAGAAUAAGCCCCGGCUAACUCCGUGCCAGCAGCCGCGGUAAU
rnacentral:rRNA from 1 species